GAUAUUCUUGCUAGUAUUGUCCUUUCAGUAGUCAAGUUGAGUUAACCAUUGAACGAACUGAAGUUUAAAAAGGAUAAGUUGAGUGCCAGAUUUCACUUAAAUGUAUCUGUAUAAAAAAGGAGUUUGGAAUUAGAAGAAGAAGAAUUGUAAACAUGUUCGUUUUAAACCAGAAAUUAAUUCAGGAUUUAAAAAGAUAGUAUGGUGGGAGUGAAACAUUGAUGAAGAUGCAAUUUUUUGUUUUUGGGUUUUUUUUGGGGGGGGGUAAUUAAGUUUAUUUAUUUAUUAUUUUUUAUUUAAUGGAGGUACUGGGGAUCGAACCCAUGACCUCAUGCAUGCUAAGUAUGUGCUCUACUACCCCCUCGAAGAUGCAAUUUUGACAGUGACAACAUGAGGCAAGUUGGGAGACAGGAAAUCGGCAAACUCCCUGGGUUGGCCAGACAGGGUCAGUUCAAUUUGUAAUUUUUACUUUAAUUCAGAAAAGGACCUGUAUUCAUGUAUUAGUCAGGGCCCUCCAGAGAAACUGAACCAACAGGAUACUUGUUUGUUUAUUUGUUUGAUUGUUUACUGUGAAGAAUUGGCUCAUGUGAUGAUGGAGGCUGAGAAACCCCAUAAUCUGCUGUCUGUGAGCUGGAUACCAGGGAAAGCUGGUGACAAAAUGCUGCCUGAAUCAGAAGACCUGAGAACCAGACUUGCCCAAUAUUACGUGUGAAAAUUAAGGACUUGUCGAAAGACACAGAAUUAUUGGUGAUAAUCAAGACUAAAAUCUAAGGAAUCUGAUACACACAGAGAAGACCAUAUGAAGAUAGGAAAGGAGAAAGAAGAAGAAACCAACCAUGCUGACACCUUGAUCUUGGACUUCUAGCCUCCAAAACUGAAAACUGUGAGGAAAUAAAUUGUUGUUGUCUGAGCCACGCAGUCCGAGGAAUAACACUUGGAAUUAUUAGAGCAGACACCUGGCACAAUGGUCAGGCAGUACAGCAUUACCUUAUAAUCAGCCCAUCAUGGAGAUGAAAAUAACACCAUGCCACAGUGUGACAACUGUAAGGCUGCAAGAAGCAAGACAAUACCCAGCCUGUGAUGACAACACACAUUCUGCCAACACUACAGAAAAUGAGUCCGCAAAUUGCCUACUCCAAGCUUUUCCACAUGAGUCUGUUCCCAAAUACUCGCCUCAAUUCUGAGAGAAUGCCUCUAGGAAGAUGAAGAGGGAGAGCUCUGAGAAGCAUUGUGGUGCAGCGCUUCUUUAAAAACCUGAGAGGGAUACUACGGUUAUCUUCAUCCUACAGAAGAGAUAGCUGAGGUUGAAGAGGUCAAUUAGCUCAACCAACUAUAAAGCGGCAGAGGAUGGAGCGUUAACUCCCACCUAAAACCAUGCUCAUAACCAUCAUGUUAACUGGCUUUCCAUGCAUGAACUGUGAUCAUGCAGCUUUCCACCUGCUCCUUGAAUUGAAGCAGAUGUUAUCUGUAGAUUUUGGCAGAGUCAACACUGAUGGUUCUGACUUCUCGUUACAAUACCAAGAACUAAUUAUACAUCUUCCAUAGAGCCACUGCAGUGGCAUGGACAAGUUGAAGGCAGUGCGAUUCUGGACAAUUUACCACAGUAAUGGAGUAUCUACUGGGCGUGAUGCCUUACACAAGGAGCAGUCCAUUGGCAAAGAGAAAAGAUGUGCGAAUGAUGGACUCUAUUCCUAAGCAGUUUAAUGAGAACACAUUUUAAGUGUGAAAGACCUGGUAAAUAAUUAAAUAGCAAGAAUUUAAUUUCAAAGGAGUUGUAAGUACUGGUUCACUGUGUAAAGGUCUACUGAGUGCAAAGAAAACUACUCGAGGAGCUGGCACAUGAGUUUUGAUGAAGUGUCUGAAAAUUCUGAGAUACAGAUUACUAGAGACGGAAGAAAAGUUGGAGAGGAAGCCAAGUGUAAAUAAAAGCACAGAUGCAGGAUGUAGCAACUUGGUUGGCAAGUGAUGGGCAUGACUAGAACCGGAAUCUGUGACAGAGCCAGCGGCCGGGAGAGCAGGUUUUGGACCAGCUGGCAUGACCUCAGCGUGUUCAGACAAACUCUGUUCUUUCAAUGACCCCAGGCAUUGUUCAGGCCAUCUUGUUUGUCACUAUCUGUCUUUGUAUCAUUCCUCAGACUUUCUGUAUGUCUUAAGCAUGAAACAAUUUCCUUCUCUAGUCUCAUAGAACUGACUUAUACAUAAUCUACAGCCUUCAUUGCCAGCCACUAACUAUCUCCCAGGUAUGCCUUCCCAGGUUCAAAGGAGCCUAUGCAUAAAAAAUUUGCUACAUUUUCCCACUGAUGGAAAUAUCACAUCAUAUCAGUCAGACACUGUGCAUCGGCACUUAAGCAAUCAACAAGCUUUUACUGAAUUCCUUGAUGUGCAGGGUAUGGGUCAAGGCCCUAUUCCUAAAAAUUAGGUGUUUCAUAAAAAGCAUGCACAAUGAUUCAGAAAUUCCUUUUUCUUUGACAUGAAAAGAGCUGAGUGAAAUCUUUAGGCUUUGUUAAAAAUGAUAGAACUUGGAACUUUUCAGACAGACAGUGAAUGUGGGUGUUAAGUGGGUUUUCAAUGGUAUUUGGUUCAUCAAAUUUAUCUUGCAUUAUUAUUUUUGUCUUUAAAAGUAGAAUAUUUGGGAUGGGGGAACACUGCCUUUAUUUUUAAGAAUUUUUUCAGUUUCCUGAAAAUAGAAAUAAUGAAGGAGAGAAAAGAACAAACGGUAAAGCUUUGGAUAAGUCAAGGCAUGACUACUUUCUAAUGUCAAAACAGCUAAGUAUAUUUUCUGUUAUGAUGUGCAGGGGGACAAUCAGCCUAGCAAGCAUGUGUAACAUUUUCAGAUUCAAAUCCAGCUGUACAAACUACUAUUGUAACAAGUAGUUCACCCUUAAACUACCCCUGCCAUCUCGAUCACUGACUCCCAUCAAUUUGUGCCAUGAUUAAGAGCAAGCUUCUGCCUGGGUUCAAAUCCCAGCUCUGCUAUUCACUAAGAUAUCUCAUAGGGUUGUUACGAGGAUUGAAUAAAUCAAUAUGCAUAAAAGCUGCACAAUGUAAGCACUAUAUGUUAACUGAUAGCACUCAUAAAAUAAAAAUAAAGGAAAAUGAACUUGUUACUCAGUUCUGUGACUAUAAUAACACUAACAUUUUCUUCGUAAUACUGAUACUAUUUGAGAUGAAAGUUACAAUCUGUCAAGCAUUGUGCCUAUUUUACAAUUUAUUUAAUCCUCACAAGGAAGCCUUCCAUGAAGUGGUGUCAUUACUGUUCCCCUGAUUUUACAGUUGGGGAGUCAAGUGAUUUGCCUAGGAUCACACAGGUAGAACUUAGUAGAGCAGAAUUUGACACCGAGGCAGUAUGAUUUCAGAACUUGCUUUUAGUCACUCUGCUACACUGUCUCUGCAUAAUUGUCCAUAGUUGUGAAGCCAGUUCCUAAAAUCCCAUUAGUUUCUAUCUUCUCUAGAAACAAAUUGGAAUUUUCUCCUUCCUUCUGUCUUCUCCAGAUAGCCUCAGAACCCAGGACAACUAACUUCCUCUGUAAGGGUGAUGAAACUGGACAGCUGCUUCCUAGGGCUAAGGUGAAGAUGCAGACAGUAUGCAGCCCCUUCCAGCCACUGGAGAGGAGUUCUACCAUAGGACCAAAAGACCCCUCAGCCUUCUGUUCCAUGGAUGGCUUCUCAAUGAUCUGUUUGCACAUUUUUUUCCUGCUUGGUAAUUAGCACCAGCUGUCUCAACUUAAAAGGAAGGAAUCCCUUUGAAAUCCUCCCUAUCCUCCGUGAAAUGUGCUACUGAAACGUGCUAAUUAGUAACUGGACUUAGGACAACACAGACAUGUGUUUCCUGUGAGUACUUUGCAAGGGAGAGGAGGAGGAAUAGGAACAUCUGUUUAGUUGCAUAUGUGUGUGUAUGCUUUUCUAAUUUUCAAGAUGACAUUUUUAAUGAAAAUCUAUCUGCUCAAAUGUGAUUGGUAGCCAGUAGCUAAGGUCCAGACCCCCCCAUGCAUUAUUUUUUCUCCCUUCCUUUGUAUUCCCUGUUCAAGCUUGUCAGUAUUCCUGUGUGCAGAGAGCAGGGCCAGUGGAGGCUUCCCUCUCUGCCUCAGGAAAUUGACUGCCCUGUCAGCAUCCUCUCACUCUUCACCAGAGUAUCAGGAAUCAUGGGGCUCUAGGGAAAUGAAAAAAUAACUCCUCUUCCUUUGGGGACCACUGUCCCAGAGUAAGCUGAUAGCCAAGUGGGACUGUCACAAUUAGCCUUCCCCAGAAUUUGAGGAGAAAGCUUAGAAACAUAAUGUAGCAUUGUGUUAAAUGCACUUUGCUAAAAAUGGAGAAGCCACUGGUUGGCCAGUUUAAACUAUGGUUGAAAAUCUGUAUCUUCACAAAUAAUUUUGAGCAGCAAGUUCCAGAGUUUCAAACUACCUUGCUGGUCUGGGGGCAAGAGCUGCUCAUGGCAUAGAUGGGAAGUUUUUUGGUUCUAUGGGAGCCUUUGGGGAUUUAUUGACAGGAUGAAGGGAGCUCACAGGAGGCUUGGGGAAAGGGUGGGCAGCAUCUUCUAUCUACAAGGUCAUUGUCUUGGAUCAAUCUGGUCAAGAACCUACCCUAGCAUUCCUGCUACCAUCACAGCAGUAAUUCUUGACACCCCAGAGGCUUCUGCUGCAACAAUCUGCACCGCAGCUCUUAUCAGUCUUGACUCAUUUUCAAGUCUUGGGGUGAGUGCUUGAUAGGUUGAACUUAGGUCACAUCAUUACCACCUGGUUGUAAGGUGGGAUGGGGACAGUCAUCCAAAGUUCUGCCCUGUUGAUGGAAAUUCAGUUGGAGUUGUUUUUUUCUUUCCCCCAAAUCACAUAUGGUGGUGGAAGGAUAAUUCCCCAUGAGGAAGUUAGGUUAUUUUUGGCAAUAAAAUUUGAUAAGAACUACUGAAGGAGGAUUCUGUUUGUCAAUGUCCAUCAACUGUGGUUAGAUGCAGUCUUGUGUGGCCAAUGCUAUGAGAGACCUACCCUGUUAAUCUGAAGCCCCACCCAGCACCACUGGCCUUGCUCUGGGGAGUCAAUCAAGAACAGGGAGUCCCCUGCUGCACUCCAGGGGUGAAGCAAGCCUCAUUCCAAGGACUCUGUAUCUUUUAUGUGCAUUAGGUCUAUGUUAGUUCUUUGAUUUACCUACCUGGCUCUGAUCCUUGCCCUUGACUCAUUCCCAGACAUCCUGUCCUUGAUGUCUGUGGGAUCUUGGGCUUUGUCUUGAUUGCCUGGCCUCUCUGAAUAUGUGAUUUCAAGCUCUCUCCAACUGAGUAGGUCAGGUAAGACCAUCAGAUUGCUGUAUUUUUUCUCCCAUAUGUUUGUUCUUCUAACUACACCACACUUUCCUAUUUGGACUCCUAUAGCCAUAACACAUUGCGAUUCUUUUUCUUUCCUGCUGCUGGAUAGAGGCAAAGGGAAGAAGCAAGAAUAAAAACAUCAUCGUGUGUUUCCUUUGGAGACAGAGCAGACUGACCCGUGUGAUGUGAGUGCUCCAAACCCAAUGCUGGCUUACUCUCCAGCUUAAACUCUGCAAUGAUCUCUGCAGCCUUCCAAAUUAACUUCAAGUCACUAGGCAGGCAAAACAUCCCUGAGCUAUUUGAUUCCCAUUCCAGGACUGAGCUUUGCCAAGCUACUUUUAGUUUCCCAGGCAACCUCUGCUCUCUCUCAUCUUCAUCCCUCACACACAGGAAGUUUACCUCUAGCAUUUGUAGGGCCCAGAACUUGAGUACAGAUGGAGGUCACAGGCCAUAUUUCUAAAUUCUUCAAAUGGGUAGAUUAAGCUUCCACCACGUUACAUAAAAUGUGUUCUAUUCUCCACCUUUGACAAAAAUGCCUUUAUAACUACCUAGAAAGCUAUGUUUAGAUUUUGAAUUCUCAGACUCUUCAGAGUUCCACAUCAGAAUGACACAGAGCAGGAGAGCACUCAGCAUCCAGCCCACCAGCCUUCUCUUCCCACCUUGAUCUGUCCUGCACGACAUGUUUUGCACGUGAGUGUUUGGACAACCCAGCCUGCACAACCAGGCGCCGUCCACACCCCCUGCAAAUGACCAUUCCCUAGCAACGAGCACAUAAGCAAAUUUGGCCCUCUCUUAGGAGGACAGAAGCCACACAGGUUCUGCAAGGGGGCCUGGAGCCACUGGGGCAAGGACUUCUGGGGUCCUGGUUUCUAGAGCAUUGUCUAGAAUGGAAAGUGUGGGAAUGGGUUCUGGGUGGGCAGAAGCCCUUGGCCCUGCAGACUCUGUAAGCACAGGAAGGGACUGAGCUGGAGGAGCGCUAGAGCACCAGGUCUCAGUGCUGGGUCCGAGGCUGAUGCUGGUACACAUUUUUCCCUUCUGCCUAGGAUGCUCUUUCCUCUACUUUGUCUAAUUGACCCAAAUUCAGCUCUCAGGUGUCCUCAUAUUCCUCCUCCUUCCUCGAAGAGAAGUCUUCUUAAUUCUCCCAGGGUAGGGUUCAUGUUCCAACUAAACUGACCGAAACACUCACCAUGUGACUCUGAGUAAGUGAUUCAACCUAUCAGCACCUCAGUUUACUUGCAAGACUAUCAUAUGGGUAUAAGAGUUACUGCAUGUAGAAUUUUAGAACAGUUCCUGAUAGAAACUCUUUUAAUGAUUAUUACACAAACACAGCGCACUGUACUUACUCCUAUAGGACUACUUCACACUGCUUUGUCACUAUAUGUUUUCUCACACCUCUCUUCCAGCAGAUAAUGUGCUUCUUGCAAUCAAAAACUUAAUUUUAUCUAAUGUUGUAUUCCUAACACAAAGCCCAAUAUAUGUAACAUAGUAGGUAUUCUACAAAGGUGUAUCCAGUAGAUGAACUGCCCUGAGGGGAGUUGGAAUUUUCAGCUUGAAGUGUUCAUGCUACAGUCCAUGAGCACCAAUAGGAAAAUCCCUGGAAGGCUGAACUCAGCUUCUCAGAUUCUUCUGACUCUAGGCUCUUAGAAGAUUAGAUGCAGAUGGUAGAAAGGAGCUAGAACUGUGUCAAUGAGUGGCAUAGAGAAGAAAUAUUUAAGUGGCAGUCCUACCCAGGGAUUAAAUAUGAUCGUACAAGACAUUAAUCUUAUGUCCUGGUAAAGAUUUACCAUCCAAAACAUUACAGCACAUGUAAUAUUGUAUUUGUCCUCACAUGAGCCAAAGGAUCCAUCAAGCAUUCCUCCCAGGGCUUUGAAACCACAUGUUUCUGGGCAUCUAUGAUCUGAGGAGUAUGUCUCUGUUUUCUUUAAUUGGAUCUGUUUAUUCUGAUGACUUGCAGAUAAGCAAAGCUCAGGAAAUACGGUCAGGAGAAAGUCUUUAAUGAUGUUUGCUUGAUUACAAUUAUGAAACUGCUUUGCAGAGCCUUCCCCAUCAUUUACUCAAGUGGUUGCUAAGUAAUUUCCGAUCCAGUCCCACAAUUAGAAUGAAUGGGCCUGGCUGCUGGUUGGUCAUGAAACUGCUCUGUUCAUCAUUCAUUCAUUCACUAGGGGUUGUCCUGAACUGUAAUUGGAUGUAGCAGAAUGCUUUGCACAGUGCCCCAAAACAAAAAAAAAAAAUGAAGAAAAAUUGAAAACCCUAAUUGAACUAACUUUUCCCUUCUUUUAAAGUCCUUUUUACUCAUGUAGCCAUUGCAUAUAAUAAUAGUAUACUUUUUUUAAUGUUUAAAGCAUGGCAAAUAGGACUUCUCAAAUUUAAUCAGAAUAAAAACUGAGCAUCUAAAGACAGUAUGAAAUUUUCUCUUUUAUCAGAUCAUUAUAAUUUAUAAUAAUUAUUUUUAUUAUGACAAACACCUAUACAGUGUUUGUAAUGUGCUAGGCACUGAGUACUUUGUGUAUAUUAACACAUUUAAUUCUUACAAAGAUCCUAAGAGGUCUGAACUAUCCUUGUUCUUACUCUACAAAUGAGAAGACUGAGGCAUGGAGAGUUAGGUAUUUUGACUAAGGUUAUACAAUAAGUGGCAAGGCCAGGAACCCAGCCCACCUGUUUCUAGAGUCUGGUCACUUCACAAUUAUGCUCUGUGGUGUAAAAAAAUACUUAAAGGCAUUUUUCACCUAGAGAGGCUUUAUCCAGUAAAAAUAAAGAGGAUAAUAUUAAUACAGACAUCAUUGUACUCAUUUUCAGUUUCAUGCAUAUUUUUUAUUUCUGAGCAACGUGGUCUUGCUAUGACGGAAUACAUAAUAUACUGAUGCAUUAUAUGGCUGGUUGUGGUACGGGUUAGUGAGUUUUCGCUAAUGGAAUUAUACCUUACUACGUUGAGCAUCUGACAUUUUGGCUUUUCUAUGUUUUGGAACUGACUUUCCCAAAUGAAGACUUUUCUGAAUGAAAUGAAACUGAAGUUGAAUGAAGUGCUGGGGUGGGGGGUGGGGGGGGCGGUGUGCUCUCCACCCUGGAAUCCAUGUACUCUGACAUGGAGGUCUUGCUGCCAUGGAAAUGUCAUGUCAUCAUGUUUCAGUGCUGACAUGGUAAGAUUUUGAUUCUGCGUUUACCCUACAUUCUUCCUUUCCUUAGAUUCCCCGCUUCCUGGAUA